rnacentral:rRNA from 1 species
GACGAACCGUGCGAACGUUGUUCGGAUUCACUGGGCUUAAAGGGCGCGUAGGCGGGUGUCCAAGUCUGGGGUGAAAUCCUUCGGCCCAACCGGAGAACAGCCUCGGAUACUGGAUGUCUCGAGGGGGGUAGGGGCACGCGGAACUUCCGGUGGAGCGGUGAAAUGCGUAGAUAUCGGAAGGAACGCCGGUGGCGAAGGCGGGUCUCUGGGCCGAUGACUGACGCUGAGGAGCGAAAGCGUGGGGAGCAAACAGG